AUGAAUUGUACUAUCAGAUAUUCAUUCAUCGCGCCUGGUGCAAUUGGAAAGGGAUGAAGACUAGAUGACGAGGGCUUUAGUCUCUGACAUCAAAAGGCAAAUUUCUAAGUAUGAAUUUAUUUUUCCAAUCUAAUGAACUAGUUAAGCAACACAUAUAAGAAGUUGAAACAAGCAAGUUUUUUUGUAAAAAAAAUUGUACAAAAGACACAAGUUUAUUCAACCAAAUGACUAGUAUGUGUAGCUAGUCCUUUUGGACUCAAAGACUAGUUUCAGUAUUCAGACCACUACUGCUACUUUCAGCUAUAUAUACAAAUGGAUCUUAUAGAAAAGUCAUAAGACUAUAGUAUCAAGCAUGCAUUUUGAUCUACUUUGCUUCUGGACAACUAUGUGUAGCUCUUUAGCAAUCUCUAUCGGAACUAUGAUUGGCCCUCUACAUUUUUAUUGUAAAUUGUAGAUGUUUCUCUCUAUUCGAGUAUGGAAGACAAUUGCAGCAUAUAGAAUCCUAGUAUGGUAUUUCUAGGAAUCCUAGCAUAGAAUACACAUAAUGUCAACUUUAAUACACCAUUUUAUUAAUGUAUCAACUCUUGUUAGUCUUCUUUAUAGGGCUAGCUAGAGGAUGAGCUAAUGUUUACCAGAUUUCCAGUUUCCAUAGAGAAUUUCUUCCAUGUAGUUGUAGGAUAAUGUGGAAGAAAUGAUUAAUAAGCACUAUUUAUGUUGAACACAACCCACCAUAGCUGAUGAAUCUGUCCAAUUCAAUUCAACAGAAAGUUCCAAUAACUAAAAAGGAUCUUGUAUCCAAAACUUUUUUUAACCCCCCAACCAGAUUGUUUAGGUGUAGGAACAUCAUCUAUAGAGUUAUCUUUGAUGUAAAUGUUAUGAAUCCUUUACUUGUAUUUCUUCUUUGUUAUAGUCCACUGUAACUUGCGUAUUCCAACCUUAUUCCAAUUUGAGACGUUCAAUAUAUUAAGCCCCUUGUCGACUAGAUUGAACAGAAUAUUUUUUUAUCGAAUAGAAUAAUUAAUUAUUGAUAACACUUGUAAGUAUUGAAAUAACAAACAACUAAACUAGCACGUAGUUGUUCUUACUCACUUAUCUCUCUUUCCAGUUGUGGUCUGACCACCUUCUAAUUCCAAAUAGCCUAUGUCUUGUCCUCCAUGUAUGAUAUCUUGUUAUUGAAACUACUUCUCAUAACAUAAUAAAAUAGUUUUCUUUCUCCAGGCACUAUUGGUAAGGGACAAGAACAAGGACUUACAAACCUUACCAUGUCUUCUAAUUAAGGAAAUGGAGUGAUACAUAAGAACUAUGUGGUUCUUGAGAAAGAGUACAUGCAAGUUUAUACUCUAUUUCCUUCUUCUACUAAUGAAGUUAAGAAAUACAC
rnacentral:lncRNA from 1 species